UUCAGGGCAUCUGGAUAAAUGGUUAGCAUCGUUGUGGUCUGAUCCUUGCGGCCCUCCUGGAGGCUGUGACUUGGGGGUCCACUGGGGGCCUGGGUUUGCAGGAGACAGGAGGGGAAGGGGCUAAAGGGGCAGAAGCACGCGGGGGCUUCACCUGCAGGAGGAGUCGGGUCUUUCACAGCUGCCCGGCCUCCCUCGGAGCCUGAGAGGCCAGCACCCCUUUCCCUCAUGGUGCCGGCUGGACCCUCCAUGCUCUGUGCCUCCUUGUGUGUCAUGUGGCAGCCAUAGUCACCCCCACCCUGUGGCGUAUUUUGAGCUUCUGGGGAGCUCAGCACACACAGCCCCCGUGAAAGCGCCGGCGCCGGCUGCUGGACCCUGCCGUGCUCCAGGCAUCGCCCCUGUCCUCUGAGGCCUCUGGCUCUGCCCAGCAAGAGGGACAGGGUGGGGAAGAAGUGGGUGUGGGGCCUCUGGAAGCCGGGCUGGGCUCAGCAUGGCGAGCUCCUGGUGGAGGCACUGGUGUCCAGGGGCAUCAGCAGCACAGAGAAGGUUCCGGGCUCCAUCUCCUGAACCUGUCUGGAAGAGCCCAGCUGCUCCCAUGGACCUGCGACCUGCCGCCCAGGGCCGGGGGUCUGGUCCUCUUUGCAUCGGCUCGGGGGAGGCCAUCCGCGGCUGGGCGAGGGUCAGCUGCCAUUUGGAUGCCCCGGCAGCCGCGGGGCUCUCGCUUCUGCCAGAGCUGGCAGCGUCCGAGGUGGCAAGGGCUCUGGGGAGCAGCGGGAGACCUGGGGGUGCCGAGUGUUCCGGAAAUAUUGCUGGUUCUUCUGGGGCAGUCCUGGCCCGCUGGGCAGAGCAGAACACGGCCUCUGCUCAGUGACGGGGUGGGGCGCUGGGGUGGCGGAAACAUGAGGCCGCGUGAAGUGGGCAUCAGCUGGGCCCUGGGGUUUGGGCUUGGAGGCCUUCGGAGCAGUGGUCCCCCGGCUCUUGCUGCCCUGUGGUUCAGUUCCUCCUGCUGCCGCGCCUGUGUGCCUUGUGGGUCGGCAGGUCUUGCGAGAGGCCUCAUCUGAGACAGGAAAGCCCCACGCAGGCUUCUGGAAGGCUCCUCCUGGCUCUCAGCCACCCCGUUGGCUGAGUGAGACCGACCCCAGCAGCUUCCUGAGGCGUGGCAAGGCCCCCAGGGACACCUGGCGGCCACACACCUGGGGGACCCCACCAAGGCUGAGACCCAGGUUGGGACUCCCCCACACUGCUGAGGUUUGGGCCUCAUUCCCCGCUGGCCCUCCGUCCACUUGGGAGCUUUCCAGGUGGGGAUGUUCGUAGGGACAGUGGUACGGCACCCAGUUGCCUCCUCCCUGAAAUCUUCAACCCGAACCUCACUCAGCACAGAGAAUUGGGGGCCAGACCACGGUGGACGGAGGCGUCCUGCUGACACAGCCCCUGUCGGGAUGUGGGAAGGGGCGGAGGCACAGCUCCAGCCCCAGCGUGACCGUGCGUGUGGGAAAACCGUCCGGGUACUUGGGGACAGCAGGGACAUUUCCAAUGUGGGUGUAUGAGAGCCACCUCCCCCAUGUGGUGGGCCCUGGUGUGAUGCUGGCAGCUGGGACAGGAGUCCUUCUCUCAGCAGAUGCUGCUGUGCUCCUGGGGCACAGUCUGUGGUUUUCUUUUGUGUGCAUAUCCAUACUUGGGUGUGUGUGCAUGUCCUUGCAUGUGCACAUGUGUGCUUGGGGGUGUGUGCGUGUCCUUGCGGGUGCACAUGCGUGCUUGGGUGUGUGUGCAUGUCCUUGCGUGUGCACGUGUGCUUGGGUGCGUGCAGGUGUGUGUAUUUGCAUGUCUGUGCGUGCAUGUUUGCCCCAGAGCGGAAGGAAAGUGAAUGCAGCCGAAUGAUCACAUCUGCAUGAGGGGUGUUCACUGUUGUGUCUGCUCAUCUUUCUGUGGGAUGAAAUAUUUCAAAAUAAGAAAUUGAGGAGAAAGAGAAAGGAGGGUGCUUGUCUCUCUCCUUGCCUCCUGCUGCUCCUCCCUGUGUUGGAGGCUCCAGGAUGCCUCACCCCAGGUUGACAUCAUUUUUGGCCUGCACAGCCAGCCCCUUUCUUUUCUCUGGGCACUAGCGAGGAGCCUGGGGAGGGGGGACGGGAAUUCCCCCAGAGGCCAGGGCUUGACUGCCCUGCAGGGCCCUCGCUGUCGCUUUUUUCCCUCACGAUGUCUCAUCCCUCAACCUCUGUUCUCCAUCCAAAGGCAUCUCUGUGAAUCCACCUGGCACGGGAGCGGCGCUGAUGCCACAAAUGCGGGCCUGACUGCUGGGCGGAGCUCGCCAGUCAACAGGGCUUGGUGUGGCUGGGGCAGCCCUGAGACCCCAGGCCCUGCCGCUGCGGCUUCCCCUUCCUGGCUCCUCUUCUCUGUGGGACGGAAAGGCUCUCUCCUGGGGAAGGCUCAGAGCUGAGCUGAUGGGUGUUUGAAGUUUCUCCACACACAGGGUCCCCUGGCAUCUCCCUCUGUCAUUUGGUGGCCAAGUGACAUUUCCCAGCAGCCCUGCUGCAGACGCCAUCUGUUCUCGGGGGAGACUCAGGUGGCCUGGGCCCUUCUGGUAGCCGCUUACCCAGCCUGACCCCAGGCUCCAGCGAGGCUGCUCCAGAUCGGGGCUUCUCUGCCCAGGUGAAGGGCGGGUGUGGGAGUUUUCUGUAGAGGCCGCUGUCCCCUGCUACCCCGGCCCCGUGUGGGACCCUGGGUCUGUCUGACAGACAGAGGCUUCCUGAGCCGGGCCCUUGGGAUGACGGGUAGGAAUCUAGGGUGGAUCCACAGGAAUUAGAGAUUUUAUCAGUUUUGUUUUCUAAAUGAAAUUCUACAGCCCCAUAGCAGCGUGAUGCUGAUGGUCCUGUCCCCUAUGGCCCCCAUCCUGGAGGCGCCCUGGUGUGGGCUGUGGGCCUGGGGGUACUUAGCACUGUCCAGUAUGCGGACGUGCCAGCAGCCCACAUUUCCCCCAGUGACCACCAGGCUGUGCCCUGGACAUGGCCGUCUGAGCACGUCGUGUCCUGGGGGCAGGGCCCCGUCUGGUGGUCAGGCUCAGUGCGAGCCCAUCAGGGGUGCUCUGCCCGCCUGGGGAGACAGCGUGGCUUCUGGGGGCUCCUCCAGGGAGGCUCUGGACCAGGCUGCAGAGGAUGCCAACCUGCCACAGGCUGGCCUGGCCGCUCAUGGACAUGGUGGCUCCUGGCCCAGGGUCUCUCCCCUGGGAACCCAGGCGUGCUCGCGGCCCUCUGGAAUGCAGGCGCUGGGGCUGUGGGGGGCCGCCUGGCGCCUGGCAUCUUGUUAUAAAAAGCUCUGGCGCAGGCUGCUCUCAGUGGCUGCAGGAUGGUUGUGGCUUUGGAAGGGCAGCCCCCAGGGGCCUUGGUCAGCCACCUGUGGGCCCCACUGCCGGGCCGUGGUCAGCCCUCACUGGCUGCCCUGCCAUGACGCUGCCGAGGCCAAUGCAGCUCCCGCCAGACUCCUGUGACAAGUCAUGACAGAGCCACAUGCUGGGUGGCUGCAGGGCCCUGUCGCCCACAGCAGUCGAGGUCUCAGGUGUGUCUGGAGGGCAACCCUGGAGACACCUGGGACAGGUGUACCUCUGGCAGGCACACCCAGGCUGUCACCCAGUGUGGGCAUGGUGGGGGUGCUGGAAUGCUGUGCAGGGCAGGAGGCAGCAGCCCGUGGCUGCGUGGGAGACUGCAGGGGAGACGGGACGGGACCAGGAGGGUUGUUCCCAGGGCCUGCCAAGCCAUCCCCAGGUGUUGAGAGUGGGAGGUAGGGGUGGGAGCCGAGAGCCGGCUCCGGGCCACCCCCACUCCCAAUGGCUCUCGGCUGUUCUGUGUGAGAGGGGCGGGGCCGAGUGUGGGUCAGCGCAGUGCUGAGGUGUCCCACGCACUCCAGCACUGGGCUGAAUGCAUUGAAAUCACUGCCCAGGGCUCCGCGAGCUGCAUGGCCCGGCUUUGUCAAUUUCAUUGCUGUUGAUGCCAAUUAGGAGUGACGCUGUCCCUCCCGCAUCCCAGGGUGGGCAGAGGGAGGGGCCGGCUUGUUCCCUGGGGGCAAGCAAGCAUGGAGUCAGCCUGGCCAUGGAGCCGUGGCCAAGAGGGCAGUGGGGGCAGCGGGGGCAGCUGGACUGGGGUUUUUGCCGACGCUCUAAUUUGGCGGCCGUCGCCACCCCUCCUUCCCAUGGAGACCCUGACGUGGCCUGAGCCAGACUCCAGGGACCAUGUGCCCUGCUGGGGAGCAGGGGCUCGGCGUCAGGUCUGGUGCACUGACUGGGAGAGGGGGGUCUCCAGCCCUGGACAGGCCCUGAGUGGGGUGGGGGCCCCCAGCUGCUGUGCCCAGCCCUGCCCCCAGGACCUGGCCUUGGCCCUGCACUGGCCAGGGCCAGGGAGGGAGUGGGCCCAGCUCCCAAGUCUGUGUGACCACCUCGGCUGGGGGCACCGACAGCUCGGGGUGCGGAGGGCCCAGCCCGUGACACCCGCUGUCAGCUGCGCCCUCUGCCUCCAGCCCGUGGACCGGGAGCCUGUGGACCGGGAGCCUGUGGACCGGGAGCCCGUGGACCGGGAGCCAGUGGUGUGCCACCCCGACCUGGAGGAGCGGCUGCAGGCCUGGCCAGCGGAGCUGCCUGAUGAGUUCUUUGAGCUGACGGUGGACGACGUGAGAAGACGCUUGGCCCAGCUCAAGAGUGAGCGGAAGCGCCUGGAAGAAGCCCCCUUGAUGACCAAGGCCUUCAGGGAGGCGCAGAUAAAGGAGAAGCUGGAGCGGUGGCUCUGAGGGUCCUGUUCCCCGACCGCUACGUCCUACAGGGCUUCUUUCGCCCCAGCGAGACAGUGGGGGACUUGCGAGACUUCGUGAGGAGCCACCUGGGGAACCCCGAGCUGUCGUUUUACCUGUUCAUCACCCCUCCAAAAACAGUCCUGGACGACCACACGCGGACCCUCUUUCAGGUGAACCUCUUCCCGACUGCUCUGGUGCACUUUGGAGCCGAGGAGCCGGCAGGUGUCUACCUGGAGCCUGGCCUGCUGGAGCAUGCCAUCUCCCCAUCUGCGGCCGACGUGCUGGUGGCCAGGUAAGUGCCGGUGGGUCUGGGGGCACCUCCCGUGGCGGCACUCACCACUCUGUGUCUUCGCCUCCCCACAGGUACAUGUCCAGGGCUGCCAGGUCCCCUUCCCCAUUGCCAGCCCCUGACCCUGCACCUGAGUCUGAGCCAGCUGCUGAGGACGGGGCGCUGGUCCCCCCAGAGCCCAUCCCAGGGACGGCCCAGCCCGUGAAGAGGAGCCUGGGCAAGGUGCCCAAGUGGCUGAAGCUGCCUGCCAGCAAGAGGUGAGAGCUGCCAGCCCGAGGUGCCCACUCUGCCAGCCACAGGACCACCUCCCCUGCCAGCAGGAAUAAAGACUUGUGCAUCCCUC
rnacentral:sRNA from 1 species